AAUGGGUCAGCGACUUAUAUUCUGUAGCAAGGUUAACCGAAUAGGGGAGCCGAAGGGAAACCGAGUCUUAACUGGGCGUUAAGUUGCAGGGUAUAGACCCGAAACCCGGUGAUCUAGCCAUGGGCAGGUUGAAGGUUGGGUAACACUAACUGGAGGACCGAACCGACUAAUGUUGAAAAAUUAGCGGAUGACUUGUGGCUGGGGGUGAAAGGCCAAUCAAACCGGGAGAUAGCUGGUUCUCCCCGAAAGCUAUUUAGGUAGCGCCUCGUGAAUUCAUCUCCGGGGGUAGAGCACUGUUUCGGCAAGGGGGUCAUCCCGACUUACCAACCCGAUGCAAACUGCGAAUACCGGAGAAUGUUAUCACGGGAGACACACGGCGGGUGCUAACGUCCGUCGUGAAGAGGGAAACAACCCAGACCGCCAGCUAAGGUCCCAAAGUCAUGGUUAAGUGGGAAACGAUGUGGGAAGGCCCAGACAGCCAGGAUGUUGGCUUAGAAGCAGCCAUCAUUUAAAGAAAGCGUAAUAGCUCACUGGUCGAGUCGGCCUGCGCGGAAGAUGUAACGGGGCUAAACCAUGCACCGAAGCUGCGGCAGCGACACUAUGUGUUGUUGGGUAGGGGAGCGUUCUGUAAGCCUGUGAAGGUGUACUGUGAGGUAUGCUGGAGGUAUCAGAAGUGCGAAUGCUGACAUAAGUAACGAUAAAGCGGGUGAAAAGCCCGCUCGCCGGAAGACCAAGGGUUCCUGUCCAACGUUAAUCGGGGCAGGGUGAGUCGACCCCUAAGGCGAGGCCGAAAGGCGUAGUCGAUGGGAAACAGGUUAAUAUUCCUGUACUUGGUGUUACUGCGAAGGGGGGACGGAGAAGGCUAUGUUGGCCGGGCGACGGUUGUCCCGGUUUAAGCGUGUAGGCUGGUUUUCCAGGCAAAUCCGGAAAAUCAAGGCUGAGGCGUGAUGACGAGGCACUACGGUGCUGAAGCAACAAAUGCCCUGCUUCCAGGAAAAGCCUCUAAGCAUCAGGUAACAUCAAAUCGUACCCCAAACCGACACAGGUGGUCAGGUAGAGAAUACCAAGGCGCUUGAGAGAACUCGGGUGAAGGAACUAGGCAAAAUGGUGCCGUAACUUCGGGAGAAGGCACGCUGAUAUGUAGGUGAAGCGACUUGCUCGUGGAGCUGAAAUCAGUCGAAGAUACCAGCUGGCUGCAACUGUUUAUUAAAAACACAGCACUGUGCAAACACGAAAGUGGACGUAUACGGUGUGACGCCUGCCCGGUGCCGGAAGGUUAAUUGAUGGGGUCAGCGCAAGCGAAGCUCUUGAUCGAAGCCCCGGUAAACGGCGGCCGUAACUAUAACGGUCCUAAGGUAGCGAAAUUCCUUGUCGGGUAAGUUCCGACCUGCACGAAUGGCGUAAUGAUGGCCAGGCUGUCUCCACCCGAGACUCAGUGAAAUUGAACUCGCUGUGAAGAUGCAGUGUACCCGCGGCAAGACGGAAAGACCCCGUGAACCUUUACUAUAGCUUGACACUGAACAUUGAGCCUUGAUGUGUAGGAUAGGUGGGAGGCUUUGAAGUGUGGACGCCAGUCUGCAUGGAGCCGACCUUGAAAUACCACCCUUUAAUGUUUGAUGUUCUAACGUUGACCCGUGAUCCGGGUUGCGGACAGUGUCUGGUGGGUAGUUUGACUGGGGCGGUCUCCUCCUAAAGAGUAACGGAGGAGCACGAAGGUUGGCUAAUCCUGGUCGGACAUCAGGAGGUUAGUGCAAUGGCAUAAGCCAGCUUGACUGCGAGCGUGACGGCGCGAGCAGGUGCGAAAGCAGGUCAUAGUGAUCCGGUGGUUCUGAAUGGAAGGGCCAUCGCUCAACGGAUAAAAGGUACUCCGGGGAUAACAGGCUGAUACCGCCCAAGAGUUCAUAUCGACGGCGGUGUUUGGCACCUCGAUGUCGGCUCAUCACAUCCUGGGGCUGAAGUAGGUCCCAAGGGUAUGGCUGUUCGCCAUUUAAAGUGGUACGCGAGCUGGGUUUAGAACGUCGUGAGACAGUUCGGUCCCUAUCUGCCGUGGGCGCUGGAGAACUGAGGGGGGCUGCUCCUAGUACGAGAGGACCGGAGUGGACGCAUCACUGGUGUUCGGGUUGUCAUGCCAAUGGCACUGCCCGGUAGCUAAAUGCGGAAGAGAUAAGUGCUGAAAGCAUCUAAGCACGAAACUUGCCCCGAGAUGAGUUCUCCCUGACUCCUUGAGAGUCCUGAAGGAACGUUGAAGACGACGACGUUGAUAGGCCGGGUGUGUAAGCGCAGCGAUGCGUUGAGCUAACCGGUACUAAUGAACCGUGAGG
rnacentral:rRNA from 1 species